AUUGAACGCUGGCGGCAGGCCUAACACAUGCAAGUCGAGCGGAUGAAGGGAGCUUGCUCCUGGAUUCAGCGGCGGACGGGUGAGUAAUGCCUAGGAAUCUGCCUGGUAGUGGGGGAUAACGUCCGGAAACGGGCGCUAAUACCGCAUACGUCCUGAGGGAGAAAGUGGGGGAUCUUCGGACCUCACGCUAUCAGAUGAGCCUAGGUCGGAUUAGCUAGUUGGUGGGGUAAAGGCCUACCAAGGCGACGAUCCGUAACUGGUCUGAGAGGAUGACCAGUCACACUGGAACUGAGACACGGUCCAGACUCCUACGGGAGGCAGCAGUGGGGAAUAUUGGACAAUGGGCGAAAGCCUGAUCCAGCCAUGCCGCGUGUGUGAAGAAGGUCUUCGGAUUGUAAAGCACUUUAAGUUGGGAGGAAGGGCAGUAAGUUAAUACCUUGCUGUUUUGACGGUACCAACAGAAUAAGCACCGGCUAACUUCGUG
rnacentral:rRNA from 1 species